rnacentral:misc_RNA from 1 species
GAUGAAGAACGCAGCGAAAUGCGAUAAGUAAUGUGAAUUGCAGAAUUCAGUGAAUCAUCGAAUCUUUGAACGCACAUUGCGCCCGCCAGUAUUCUGGCGGGCAUGCCUGUUCGAGCGUCAUUUCAACCAUCAAGCCCCAGGCUUGUGUUGGGGACCUGCGGCUGCCGCAGGCCCUGAAAACCAGUGGCGGGCUCGCUUUCACACCGGGCGUAGUAGAUUUUAUCUCGCUCAGGGCGUGCUGCGGGUUCCGGCCGUUAAAAAGCCUUUUUUACCCAAGGUUGACCUCGGAUCAGGUAGGAAGACCCGCUGAACUUAAGCAUAUCAAUAAGCGGAGGA